rnacentral:rRNA from 1 species
CUUAAAACUCAAAGGACUUGGCGGUAUCCCAUUUCGGCCUAGAGGAGCCUGUCCUAUAAUCGACACUCCCCGUUCCACCCAACCUCCACUUGCACAUUCAGCCUAUAUACCGCCGUCGACAGUCUACCCCAUGAGGGCCUUUUAGUAGACACAAUAGCAAUAACUCGCUAACACGUCAGGUCAAGGUGUAGCAAAUGUUGAGGAAGAGAUUGGCUACAUUUUUUAUUUCAAAACAAACGAAAUGCAACAUGAAACAUUGCACGAAGGUGAAUUUAGUAGUAAAAUGAAUAAGAGAGUUCAUUUUAACACC